GAUGAACGCUGACAGAAUGCUUAACACAUGCAAGUCUACUUGAACUUCGGUUUGGGUGGCGGACGGGUGAGUAACGCGUAAAGAACUUGCCUCACAGUUAGGGACAACAUUUGGAAACGAAUGCUAAUACCUGAUAUUAUGAUUUUAGGGCAUCCUAAAAUUAUGAAAGCUAUAUGCGCUGUGAGAGAGCUUUGCGUCCCAUUAGCUAGUUGGAGAGGUAACGGCUCACCAAGGCGAUGAUGGGUAGCCGGCCUGAGAGGGUGAACGGCCACAAGGGGACUGAGACACGGCCCUUACCCCUACGGGAGGCAGCAGUGGGGAAUAUUGGACAAUGGACCAAAAGUCUGAUCCAGCAAUUCUGUGUGCACGAUGACGUUUUUCGGAAUGUAAAGUGCUUUCAGUUGGGAAGAAAAAAAUGACGGUACCAACAGAAGAAGUGACGGCUAAAUACGUG
rnacentral:rRNA from 1 species